rnacentral:rRNA from 1 species
UACAGAGGGUGCGAGCGUUGUUCGGAAUUAUUGGGCGUAAAGGGCGCGUAGGCGGCGCCACAAGUCACUUGUGAAAACUCGGGGCUCAACCCCGAGCCUGCAGUCGAUACGGGCAGACUAGAGUGCUGUAGGGGAGACUGGAAUUCCUGGUGUAGCGGUGAAAUGCGCAGAUAUCAGGAGGAACACCGGUGGCGAAGGCGGGUCUCUGGGCCGAUACUGACGCUGAGGAGCGAAAGCGUGGGGAGCGAACAGGAUU